UUUUAAUACAAAAGAGAAAAAUAAAUCAGAUUGGAUGGAACAGAAAUCUGGGACUUUACAGUUGUGAUUUAAUGUUUAACAGUUUUUUUGUUUUUUUUCAGUUUUUGGCAUUUGUCAGUAACACUUUGAGGUUGUUUAAAACUCACUUUAUAUUUAAUUAUGAGUCAACAAACACAAACGUGAGAGAACAUAAGGCCACCUUUGACUCAGCAUAAAACAUGAUGCCUUCAUUUCUAAUUCUGUUUGCCUUCUGUCCCACUUUUACUUUGAAAAUUGUGGACAUGAAAAGUAAUUUCACUCUUAAAUGUUUGUUCGUCUUCACCUGAAUCUCAUCCACAGAAAAAACAGUCCAUCAUCGUCGUCGACUCAAAGCUCUCGCCUGGAGGCGAGGUUCUGACCCCGCCAAAAUAAAAGCGCCGUCACUUCCUGGCCUCCUCCACCUCGUCGGUCUCCUUCUCCUGCCGCUCCCGCUCUCGUCUCAUCUCCUUCAGCUCCUGUCGGUAUUUCCGCUCGAUGAAGCGCUUCUGAUGAGCCAUCUGUGGGAAGUUAUCUGGUGCAGGGUGUGGAGAGGCAGAGCGGGAAAACAGAGAAAGUCGACCAAGGAGAACAGAUAAAGAGACACAGAGGCAGAGGUGUGAAGAGACAAGAGUUGCGCUGCACCACCGCCAGGAUUGGACGACAGGAGGUGGGGUUGGCGCAGGAUUGGUCGGGCUGCCGAGGAAAACCAGGAUGACGUUGCCUCUGGGUCAGAGAGGGACAGAUCAGCGGGCCAUCCUCCAUGCCGUCCAGACCGACACAUAUCCAGCACAAUUUGUUUGUUGUAUAGCAGAACAAGAUACUGUAGUGAGCUGCUACUUUUUGUUUUAUUCAUGUUCACCUGUUUGAGUUAGAGAGGGAGGGAAGACUUUGUAUUUAAUUUUGUCCUUUUAUUUUGAUAGGUAAGUCGACCUCCUUAGGACUAGUGUGGUUUUGUUUAUUUUUGGCGUAAAGCUCACCCCUAAUUCAUUUACACCUUACCUUUGACUUGUUUUUGUUAACCUCAACCUUUGCUUUUCGAGACACAUUUAAUGUAAAUUCUUUGAGAAAACGCUGUGUGUGCUGCUUCAGACACAUGUAGUCAGGCACUUCAUGUUGCGUUCAGUAACCCCUAGGCUGGGCUUAACAGUGACAUGUUUGAUUACGUACUAUGAUGUUUUACAUACUAUACUGUGAAUUUUUGUACAUACAUUACUAUGACUUUUUUACUAUGGCCUAAUAUACAAUGAGAUAUUUGUUUCCUGUGAAAAUUGAUUUUACAACAUGUAAAGGACUUGGGUCAAAAUUGAUUGUUUAGCAUGUGAAAUGCAUA
ensembl:lncRNA